GCUGGCGCCGAUGUGUCCCGCCCGUUCGCGGGCGUACGGACGCCGGUGGGACUCCGCGCUGUACGGCGCGGUAACAACACGCUCGUAACACGGAGGAUGUCUCAUACGGUAAAGCGAAUGAUUAGAGGACAUUGGGGCCGAAACGACCUCAACCUAUUCUCAAACUAUAAAUGAGUGAGAUCGCCGGCUUUACCUGGUACACCGCGUGAACCGCGUGCGAAGCCGGCGACGGAACCCUAGGCGCUUAGUGGGCCAUUUUUGGUAAGCAGAACUGGCGCUGCGGGAUGAACCGAACGCCGAGUUAAGGCGCCGAAAUCGACGCGUAUUCAGAGACCAUGAAAGGCGUUGGUUGCUGAUGACAGCAGGACGGUGGCCAUGGAAGUCGGAAUCCGCUAAGGAGUGUGUAACAACUCACCUGCCGAAGCAACUAGCUCUGAAAAUGGAUGGCGCUGGAGCGUCGUGCCUAUACUCGGCCGUCGACGGCAUAGUGGGGCCAGUCGUCGCUCGCGGCGGCCGGUCCCGGCAAGCCUCGACGAGUAGGAUGGCGCGGCGGUGUGCGUCGAAGGGCAGGUCGCGAGACCGCCUGGAGCCGCCGUCGGUGCAGAUCUUGGUGGUAGUAGCAAAUACUCGAGAGGGGCCCUCGGGGGCUGCCGUGGAGAAGGGUUUCUUGUGAACAGCCGUUGUCCAAGAGUCAGUCGAUCCUAAGCCCGGGGAGAGAUCCUCGUACCACGGGCGAAGGCGUUUUCGAAUCGCCCUUGGGGCGAGAGGGAAUCCGGUUCGUAUUCCGGAACCCGACGCGGAACCGCUCCCUAGUGUUCGGGGCUCUUUUGUCUCGUCUGGGUAACCAGAAUGAACUCGAAGAAGCCGCCGGGGGAUCUGGGUAGAGUUCUCUUUUCUCUGUGAGCGUUGUACGUCCCUGGAAUCCUCUAGCCGGGCGAUAGGGACGCGAGCGCGAAGAGCACCGCUCGUUGCGGCGGUGUCCGUGAUCCCCACGCGGACCUUGAAAAUUCGAGAGAGGGCCACGCGGAGUCUUCGCGUCGGUUCGUACCGAUAUCCGCAGCAGGUCUCCGAGGUGAGCAGCCUCUAGCCGCAUAGAAUAAUGUAGGUAAGGGAAGUCGGCAAAACCGAUCCGUAACUUCGGGAUAAGGAUUGGCUCUGAGGAGCGUGGCUGCCGGGUUCGGGUCGUCGUAGAAGCGUAGGCGUUUUUGGCGACACCCCGGCCGUCGCCCGUGCGCCCGGUCUUCGGAACGGGAGCCUCGAGGCGGCCGCGGGCCCGUCGCCGUCCGCCGACCGUGGAACCACCGAGCUUCGGUCGCUGGCCGCGUCGCGGCCGGCCGACCGCCUUGGUGUCGGUUCGCCGUCACCGGGCGGUCCGGCCGCCGCGCCGUCGGUCGCGUAGCCGGAUCGACAGCCAUGUAACGGUCAACUCAGAACUGGCACGGACCAGGGGAAUCCGACUGUCUAAUUAAACCAAAGCAUCGCGAUGGCCCGGG
rnacentral:ncRNA from 1 species